UCCAAAGCCUGACUAACUGCCUGCACUUUUAAGCCUCACUGGCUAACUGCCUAAGCUAACUGAAAAAGAAUGUUCAGCCAACCCUCUAACUGCCAGUUUGGCUCCGCCCAUCUCCGGUUGUUCAGCAACUCAUUUGCAUUCAGCCAAUCAGACAGCACCUAUGCUAAUGGAUUCUUGAUGGCUCCUCCCCCGGGCUCUGCAGAGCUGUUGCAACUGAAAUCUACAAGAUGGCCACUUAUUAACCUGGCCUACAACUGAGAUCUACAAAAUGGCUGCACACCAAUCCUGCAAGGAGAAAAAAAAAUUGAGAAACUGCAAGUCACUUCUGGUGUGAGAGAAUUGGACAUCUGCAAGGACAUUGCCCAGGGGAUGCCUGGAUGUUUGAUGUUUUACCAUCCUUGUGGUAACUUCUCUCAUGUCCCCACAUGAGGAGCUGGAGCUGACAGAGGGAGCUCAUCUGCGCUAUCCCCAGAUCCGAACCAGCAAUCUUCAGAUCCUCUGAAGAUGCCAGCCAUAGAUACAGGCAAAAUGUCAGGAGAAAAUGCUGCUAAAGCACAGCCAUACAGCCUGGAAACCACACAAUACUCCAGUGAUUCCGGCAAUGAAAGCCUUUUAUGGCCAGAAUCAAUCAAUACAUGAUUACUCAGAAUUAAGUCCCAACUGUUGUCUACCUGAGAAAUAUUUUUGCGACCCUUUCGGCUGAAAAUGUUUUUCAUGACACUGGAGAUAGGCAGUCCCUGGGUUAUGAAUAAGACAGGUUCUCUAGGUUUGUUCUUAAGUUGAAUUGUAUGUAAGUCUGAACAGGUACAUUUUUAAGGUAUAACUCAAGCCAAAACAUUUUUAAAAUUUUUGAUUAGCAUAGAGAAGGUUGCCAUGUAAUAUUUGUUUCGCCUUCUGUGCCCCUGUUCAGAAGAUUUCGCCUCACCUUCUGUCCCUGUCAUAAUUAGAUUUUGAAAAAUUUGGUUUCUUCUGGAAGCAAGGAUUGGUGAUAAAGCUUCAGUGGAGAUCCCUUUUUUCAUGAUAACUCUUACAGUAGUGAAUUUCCCUCCCUAGGGGUUGAUUACCUUCUCUUCCUGUCAUCUUACUCCCAUUUGUAAUUAGGAGUCAUAUGUAAGUUGGAAUGUU